rnacentral:rRNA from 1 species
AGCGAACGCUGGCGGCAGGCCUAACACAUGCAAGUCGAACGGAUCCUUCGGGAUUAGUGGCGGACGGGUGAGUAACACGUGGGAACGUGCCCUUUGGUUCGGAACAACUCAGGGAAACUUGAGCUAAUACCGGAUGUGCCCUUCGGGGGAAAGAUUUAUCGCCAUUGGAGCGGCCCGCGUCUGAUUAGCUAGUUGGUGAGGUAACGGCCCACCAAGGCGACGAUCAGUAGCUUGUCUGAGAGGAUGAUCAGCCACACUGGGACUGAGACACGGCCCAGACUCCUACGGGAGGCAGCAGUGGGGAAUCUUGCGCAAUGGGCGAAAGCCUGACGCAGCCAUGCCGCGUGAAUGAUGAGGGUCUUAGGAUUGUAAAAUUCUUUCAGCGGGGACGAUAAUGACGGUACCCGCAGAAGAAGCUCCGGCUAACUUCGUG